CGUGAUCUAGAAGGUCAGCCUGCCCAGUGACUAAGUUAAACGGCCGCGGUACCCUAACCGUGCAAAGGUAGCGCAAUCACUUGUUCUUUAAAUGAGGACUAGUAUGAACGGCAUCACGAGGGUUAUACUGUCUCCCUAUUCCAUUCAGUGAAACUGAUCUUCCCGUGAAGAAGCGGGAAUAUAAAUAUAAGACGAGAAGACCCCAUGGAGCUUUAAACUCAGUGUCAUCUGCCACUUCAAUACCCUCUUAACCACGCAGACAUGAUAACUAGUUUUCGGUUGGGGUGACCGCGGAGUAAAACAAAACCUCCACAACGAAAGGAACUAACAACCUAAUCCAAGAGCAACAUCUCUAAGAAUCAACAAAUUGACUUAAUUGAUCCAAUUACUUGAUCAACGAACCAAGUUACCCUGGGGAUAACAGCGCAAUCCAUUUCAAGAGCUCAUAUCGACAAAUGGGUUUACGACCUCGAUGUUGGAUCAGGGUAUCCCAGUGGCGCAGCAGCUACUAACGGUUCGUUUGUUCAACGAUUAAAACCCUACGUGAUCUGAGUUCAAACGGGGG
rnacentral:rRNA from 1 species